ensembl:lncRNA
GCGGGAGCUUAGUGCUUCAUGCACUAGGCAGGGAGAAGCACAAGGAGCUUACAUGUACACAUGCACUUCUCCUUUGCCUGCAGUUUCACUCCAGCCCACACUGCAACAUCUGGUCCUUGUGCCUAACUCACUGGUGGGGGCACAGCUAGCACAGCAGCAGGCUGUCAGACCUCUGAGGCUGCAUUUCAUGGGGUUUCAUUAAUAACAUUCCCAAUGUGAUUUUCUUUUUGUGUUCUCUUUGUAGAACACAGAAUGUAUUGUAGCCUUUUUCCAGCGCUUACUGGCUAUUUUAAUCAAACCCAGCACUGAACAGAGAAGAAAAAGAGGCAUGGAGGGGAUGUAGUCAUUUAUUAUUAUUAUUAUUUUUUUUGCACUGGACAAUGCUGGCAGAUCUUGUCUUUGCAUUAGGGCGAGGAUUUACCUCUCACCUGCAGCAGGAGCUGAACUGUGAAAUUUCUGUGGCAUCUUAAACGAAAAAAAGAAGUUGGGAUGAACUUGACCAGCAGAGACAGACAUCUAGUAGCGACUGGGACUUCAGGGACAAGGGUGAGGAGAACCUUUGGACCCGAGCUGACACGAGAGUCCAGCCCCCCUCACCCUGCAUGUGUUUACCCCAUCUGGUCAGAAGCCUGCUUAUCACCCUCCCCGGGCCGGGCCCAGAGACAGGGCUGUCUGUCUGUCUGCCUGUGCAGCCGUGUGAUACCCAGCAUCAAUUUCCCUCUCAGAUGGCUGGAAGUAUCUCAGCCUGGUGACCUCCUCUCUCAGCUUGGUCAGCUGCUCAAGAAGAUGACCCACCCGGGCACAUCUGCACCCACAAGACCCCUCACCUACCUCAGUCCCAUGGCUGACCUCCAGAUUCCACAGCUCUGCAGAGCCAAAGGUCUGGGCAGCCUUCCUGCUCCUCAAGAGGUCCGUCUGGGCACACGUGUAAGCCCAGAGAGGUUUUGAACAGAGUGAAUAAAGAAGGCUGCAGACAGAGGUAUACAGAGCUGCACAACAUAACGAACAAGCAAUCACGGGAUACACUGUACUGACGGGCAACAUUUGCUGAGCUCUCCCAGUGGCAAUAUCCUACUUUGGAACAGAAACCCUCCUCUGCGUCUGUGGAUGGACACCUCUGUGACCUGAGCCUCAGUUUCACAGCUCAGGCUUUCUGCAAACAAAUCUCAAACCUAAGUUGUAAAUGAGGCAUCAGAAGGUCAAACACUUGGUAUCCUCAAUCACUCCAACAGCAGUCAGCAAAUAUUUUAAGGAAGGAGACAAGGAUUUAUCUCACGCAGACUGAGUCCAAUACUCCGUUGCCCUGCAUGCUCAGGGAAGAGGGCACCUGGGCUACAAGGAGACGGAGACUCGGUUUCUUUGUUCAGCACGGAGCACAGACUCUCUACUGUCAUCUCUGCACAGUAAAGUCAAUUGGCCAAAAUAUGGACUCAUCUAGAGAGAUGCCACCUGAUGCCCAGAUAGUAUUUCACAAUUUUUUCAUACCCUAUUAAUGCGAGGACAGACCAUCAGCAUACUUUGCUAUUGCCUUGAAGAUCUCGCAUACAAGACAUGCUGACACCAAGUCAUCUCAUCCAUCCCCUGCCACCCAUAAGGCUGUAAAUCAGGCCAGCUUCCCUUGACGUGGAAC